rnacentral:rRNA from 1 species
UACGUAGGGGGCAAGCGUUGUCCGGAUUUAUUGGGCGUAAAGAGCGUGUAGGCGGCCUGAAAGGUCAGCUGUGAAAACUCGAGGCUCAACCUCGAGACGUCGGUUGAAACCGUAUGGCUAGAGUCCGGAAGAGGAGAGUGGAAUUCCCGGUGUAGCGGUGAAAUGCGCAGAUAUCGGGAAGAACACCCGUGGCGAAGGCGGCUCUCUGGGACGGUACUGACGCUGAGACGCGAAAGCGUGGGGAGCGAACAGG